UACAGAGGGUGCGAGCGUUGUCCGGAAUCACUGGGCGUAAAGGGCGCGUAGGUGGCGACCCAAGUCGAUGGUGAAAGCUCGCCGCUCAACGGCGAGUCGGCCACUGAUACUGGGUUGCUGGAGCACUGUAGAGGCAGAUGGAAUUCCGGGUGUAGCAGUGGAAUGCGUAGAGAUCCGGAAGAACACCGGUGGCGAAGGCGGUCUGCUGGGCAGUUGCUGACACUGAGGCGCG
rnacentral:rRNA from 1 species